ACACACUGCUGCUGACUGAAUUUUGGAAGGUGCUGAAGGUCUUGAUAUUGUUCUUGUUGAGGACACUUGCAGCCAUCAACUCUGCAAUUCAUCACUGGGCUUCUUCAGUACUGUAACCAGGAUGUCCAUUAUUUCUACAAAGUCCACAAUACCAUCUGCAAAGUUAAGGUUAUUAAAUUCACUGACAAAGGCACACAAGUAAAUGGAUCCCACUUUGCUACUCCAUAGCCAGUCCAUGCUAGCACUGAACAGAUUAGGGGCCAGAACACAUCCGCGAUGUGUCGCACAAUACAUUGGAAAUAAAUCAAACAUUCUCUCCAUUCCACACAGCAUUCACAGUACUUGUGUGUAAGAUUUGCCAUGAUGCACAGCAAGGGUUUCCACAAAGUCUCAGGUUGUAUCACAGAGCAAUCGUGUUAAAUACUUUACAAAAAAUAAAGGCUGCAAAGAAAUCCUGUCAAUACUGACGCCUGUUUUCAGUGAAAACCCAAAGAGAGAGAACAGUGUAACAAAUGCAAAACAUUAUUCAAAGAAGAGGGGUAGAGCAUUAAACUGUCAAGU